rnacentral:rRNA from 1 species
UGGGUGAUACAGCGAAAGCGUUAAGUAUUCCACCUGGGGAGUACGCCGGCAACGGUGAAACUCAAAGGAAUUGACGGGGGCCCGCACAAGCGGAGGAACAUGUGGUUUAAUUCGAUGAUACGCGAGGAACCUUACCCGGGCUCAAACGUCAGUUGACGUAUCCGGAAACGGAUAUUCCCUUCGGGGCAACUGACGAGGUGCUGCAUGGUUGUCGUCAGCUCGUGCCGUGAGGUGUCGGCUUAAGUGCCAUAACGAGCGCAACCCCUACCGACAGUUGCUAACAAGUAGCGUUGAGGACUCUGUCGGGACUGCCGGCGCAAGCUGUGAGGAAGGCGGGGAUGACGUCAAAUCAGCACGGCCCUUACGUCCGGGGCGACACACGUGUUACAAUGGCAGGUACAGCGGGAAGCCACGGGGUGACCCGGCGCAGAACCCGAAAACCUGUCUCAGUUCGGAUUGGAGUCUGCAACCCGACUCCAUGAAGCUGGAUUCGCUAGUAAUCGCGCAUCAGCCACGGCGCGGUGAAUACGUUCCCGGGCCUUGUACACACCGCCCGUCAAGCCAUGGAAGCCGGGAGUGCCUGAAGUGCGUGACCGCAAGGAGCGCCCUAAGGCAAGACCGGUGACUGGGGCUAAGUCGUAACAAGGUAACCGU